rnacentral:lncRNA from 1 species
GCUCGGCUUGCCAGAGUAGAGGCUUGGCCCAUCUCUCGUCUAUCCACUUGGACCAAAGGUUUCCCUCCUAUCUUUCUCAGUUUGCUAUGGCAGAUGCUUGGAGAAUUUCCUUCCCUCAUCUUUGAUUCCUUCUCCUUCUUCUAACCCAAAAGAAAAAAGAAGUGACUAAUGUUAAAAUACCUUUAAGAUACGUCCAAAGCAAAUAAACUAGGCCU